rnacentral:lncRNA from 1 species
AGGAGUGACAGAGAAGACUGGCAGCUGCAGAGCAGGACAGACCAGAUUGGCCAGUACAACAGCAGAGGGCCAUGUUGGGCUUUGACUCAGGAAUCCUGGUGGAGGCAAUGAUGAGAGAGAAGAGAUAAAACACACUAGUUUCUAUCAAUCCAUCUUAGCAGCAGAGCCAAGUGUUAGAGUUAUUGCUGCCUGAGUUAUAACAGCUGCCCUGGGAAUCUUGUCUGAACAACAAGUUAACUGCUGUUCCCAGUUAUAUCUGGUCUUUCCCACCCCCAAACAUACACAAAAGAUUUUUGUCAUUCUUGGCACUGGACAACAGAAGUGAUAAGACAUGCCAGCAGAACUCUAAAGGCAGAAUGUCCUUCCACCUGUUUUAUGCUGUAAGACAAACUUCCAAGUGCGAGGCAGUGUGGAGGGCUGUUGCCUUGAAUGGCAGCUGAAUGCACCAGCGGGAUCCUUGGCAGCAAUGCCCAGGCACUGAAGUCGGGCAUUCAGGAGAGCUAAAUGGAGAAAAGAAACUUGAGCAAACUGCUUCCUGGAACACUGAGAACCUGAAUGGGAAAUUAAGAAGAACCAGAUUCUUUCUAUUCUUCCACCAGCCAAGCAACUUCAGGAUGGGGGAAUCAAGCAAAACCAUGGUGAAGAGAUUCAUUUAAAGAGGACAAGUGAUUUAUUCUACAUCUCAGGAGACAGUUCCUUAAGGUGAUGAGCACAAAAGGAUCCAUCUUAUACAGUGCUUGCCAGCUUCCAUAAUACUACUCACCACGAUGUUGAAAUCACCUGUUCCAGAACCAGUCCUGUCCUUUGACAAGAAGGAUUUAAUUAUCAGUAGUGGUGGGGACUGGCUGGAGAGAGGAAAAACACUUCAAGGACUCUGCCACCUUUCGUAGAUGGAGAGUGCAAAGUUUGUACCAUGGAACUCCUUCUCUAACAGUUACUCUGUGGCAGUGCCUAUUUCAAACCUCCCUUAACUUCUGAUUGUAUAGAUGUUUGUUUCAUUUGUUCAUCUGUUUGUUCACUUAGUCAGAGAUGUUUUAAGCCUUAAGAGAAAUAGUGGACUAGAAAAUGCCUUGGAAAAGUACAAAGUUCAAUCCAAGUAAACUGUUUUUAAACUAGGAAUUUAUGAAGCCUAAAAUAUAAAAUGUAUAUACAUGGAUAUGCUCUGAAGUGAGGUAGAGGGGUAGAAAUCAACAUUGUGAUAUUGUACUAUAGUUUUGCAAGAUGUUACCAUUGGGGGAAAAUGUUUGAAGGGUAUACGGGAUAUCUCUGCCUUAUUUCUUACAACUGCAUGUGAAUCUACAGUUAUCUCAAAAUAAAAAUUUAAUUAACAAUUGAUUACAAUUAACAGCA